GAUGAACGCUGGCGGCGUGCCUAAUACAUGCGAGUCGAGCGAACAGACGAGGAGCUUGCUCCUCUGACGUUAGCGGCGGACGGGUGAGUAACACGUGGAUAACCUACCUAUAAGACUGGGAUAACUUCGGGAAACCGGAGCUAAUACCGGAUAAUAUAUUGAACCGCAUGGUUCAAUAGUGAAAGACGGUUUUGCUUUCACUUAUAGAUGGAUCCGCGCCGCAUUAGCUAGUUGGUAAGGUAACGGCUUACCAAGGCGACGAUGCGUAGCCGACCUGAGAGGGUGAUCGGCCACACUGGAACUGAGACACGGUCCAGACUCCUACGGGAGGCAGCAGUAGGGAAUCUUCCGCAAUGGGCGAAAGCCUGACGGAGCAACGCCGCGUGAGUGAUGAAGGUCUUCGGAUCGUAAAACUCUGUUAUUAGGGAAGAACAAAUGUGUAAGUAACUAUGCACGUCUUGACGGUACCUAAUCAGAAAGCCACGGCUAACUACGUG
rnacentral:rRNA from 1 species